UUAAGCGACUAAGCGUACACGGUGGAUGCCCUGGCAGUCAGAGGCGAUGAAGGACGUGCUAAUCUGCGAAAAGCGUCGGUAAGGUGAUAUGAACCGUUACAGCCGGCGAUGUCCGAAUGGGGAAACCCAGUGCAAUUCGUUGCACUAUCGUUAACUGAAUACAUAGGUUAACGAGGCGAACCGGGGGAACUGAAACAUCUAAGUACCCCGAGGAAAAGAAAUCAACCGAGAUUCCCCCAGUAGCGGCGAGCGAACGGGGAGCAGCCCAGAGUCUGAAUCAGCUUGUGUGUUAGUGGAACGGUCUGGAAAGUCCGACGGUACAGGGUGAUAGUCCCGUACACCAAAAUGCACAGGUUGUGAACUCGAAGAGUAGGGCGGGACACGUGGUAUCCUGUCUGAAUAUGGGGGGACCAUCCUCCAAGGCUAAAUACUCCUGACUGACCGAUAGUGAACCAGUACCGUGAGGGAAAGGCGAAAAGAACCCCGGCGAGGGGAGUGAAAAAGAACCUGAAACCGUGUACGUACAAGCAGUGGGAGCACCUUCGGGUGUGACUGCGUACCUUUUGUAUAAUGGGUCAGCGACUUAUAUUCUGUAGCAAGGUUAACCGUAUAGGGGAGCCGCAGGGAAACCGAGUCUUAACUGGGCGUUAAGUUGCAGGGUAUAGACCCGAAACCCGGUGAUCUAGCCAUGGGCAGGUUGAAGGUUGGGUAACACUAACUGGAGGACCGAACCGACUAAUGUUGAAAAAUUAGCGGAUGACUUGUGGCUGGGGGUGAAAGGCCAAUCAAACCGGGAGAUAGCUGGUUCUCCCCGAAAGCUAUUUAGGUAGCGCCUCGUGAAUUCAUCUUCGGGGGUAGAGCACUGUUUCGGCUAGGGGGUCAUCCCGACUUACCAACCCGAUGCAAACUACGAAUACCGAAGAAUGUUAUCACGGGAGACACACGGCGGGUGCUAACGUCCGUCGUGAAGAGGGAAACAACCCAGACCGCCAGCUAAGGUCCCAAAGUCAUGGUUAAGUGGGAAACGAUGUGGGAAGGCACAGACAGCCAGGAUGUUGGCUUAGAAGCAGCCAUCAUUUAAAGAAAGCGUAAUAGCUCACUGGUCGAGUCGGCCUGCGCGGAAGAUGUAACGGGGCUAAACCAUGCACCGAAGCUGCGGCAGCGACACUAUGUGUUGUUGGGUAGGGGAGCGUUCUGUAAGCCUGCGAAGGUGUGCUGUGAGGCAUGCUGGAGGUAUCAGAAGUGCGAAUGCUGACAUAAGUAACGAUAAAGCGGGUGAAAAGCCCGCUCGCCGGAAGACCAAGGGUUCCUGUCCAACGUUAAUCGGGGCAGGGUGAGUCGACCCCUAAGGCGAGGCCGAAAGGCGUAGUCGAUGGGAAACAGGUUAAUAUUCCUGUACUUGGUGUUACUGCGAAGGGGGGACGGAGAAGGCUAUGUUAGCCGGGCGACGGUUGUCCCGGUUUAAGCAUGUAGGCUGGUUAUCCAGGCAAAUCCGGAUAAUCAAGGCUGAGGUGUGAUGACGAGGCACUACGGUGCUGAAGUAACAAAUGCCCUGCUUCCAGGAAAAGCCUCUAAGCAUCAGGUAACAUCAAAUCGUACCCCAAACCGACACAGGUGGUCAGGUAGAGAAUACCAAGGCGCUUGAGAGAACUCGGGUGAAGGAACUAGGCAAAAUGGUGCCGUAACUUCGGGAGAAGGCACGCUGGUGUGUAGGUGAAGCCCCUGCGGGUGGAGCUGAGACCAGUCGAAGAUACCAGCUGGCUGCAACUGUUUAUUAAAAACACAGCACUGUGCAAACACGAAAGUGGACGUAUACGGUGUGACGCCUGCCCGGUGCCGGAAGGUUAAUUGAUGGGGUUAUCCGUAAGGAGAAGCUCUUGAUCGAAGCCCCGGUAAACGGCGGCCGUAACUAUAACGGUCCUAAGGUAGCGAAAUUCCUUGUCGGGUAAGUUCCGACCUGCACGAAUGGCGUAAUGAUGGCCAGGCUGUCUCCACCCGAGACUCAGUGAAAUUGAACUCGCUGUGAAGAUGCAGUGUACCCGCGGCAAGACGGAAAGACCCCGUGAACCUUUACUAUAGCUUGACACUGAACAUUGAGCCUUGAUGUGUAGGAUAGGUGGGAGGCUUUGAAGCGUGGACGCCAGUCUGCGUGGAGCCAACCUUGAAAUACCACCCUUUAAUGUUUGAUGUUCUAACGUUGGCCCCUGACCGGGGUUGCGGACAGUGUCUGGUGGGUAGUUUGACUGGGGCGGUCUCCUCCCAAAGCGUAACGGAGGAGCACGAAGGUUAGCUAAUCCUGGUCGGACAUCAGGAGGUUAGUGCAAUGGCAUAAGCUAGCUUGACUGCGAGCGUGACGGCGCGAGCAGGUGCGAAAGCAGGUCAUAGUGAUCCGGUGGUUCUGAAUGGAAGGGCCAUCGCUCAACGGAUAAAAGGUACUCCGGGGAUAACAGGCUGAUACCGCCCAAGAGUUCAUAUCGACGGCGGUGUUUGGCACCUCGAUGUCGGCUCAUCACAUCCUGGGGCUGAAGUAGGUCCCAAGGGUAUGGCUGUUCGCCAUUUAAAGUGGUACGCGAGCUGGGUUUAGAACGUCGUGAGACAGUUCGGUCCCUAUCUGCCGUGGGCGCUGGAGAAUUGAGGGGGGCUGCUCCUAGUACGAGAGGACCGGAGUGGACGCAUCACUGGUGUUCGGGUUGUCAUGCCAAUGGCACUGCCCGGUAGCUAAAUGCGGAAGAGAUAAGUGCUGAAAGCAUCUAAGCACGAAACUUGCCCCGAGAUGAGUUCUCCCUGAGACUUUAAGUCUCCUGAAGGAACGUUGAAGACGACGACGUUGAUAGGCCGGGUGUGUAAGCGCAGCGAUGCGUUGAGCUAACCGGUACUAAUGAACCGUGAGGCUUAACCUU
rnacentral:rRNA from 1 species